CACGUAGGGUGCGAGCGUUGUCCGGAAUUAUUGGGCGUAAAGAGCUCGUAGGCGGUGAGUCGCGUCGGCCGUGAAAACCUGCAGCUUAACUGUGGGCUUGCGGUCGAUACGGGCAUCACUGGAGUUCGGCAGGGGAGACUGGAAUUCCUGGUGUAGCGGUGAAAUGCGCAGAUAUCAGGAGGAACACCGGUGGCGAAGGCGGGUCUCUGGGCCGAUACUGACGCUGAGGAGCGAAAGCGUGGGGAGCGAACAGG
rnacentral:rRNA from 1 species